CCUGGCCAAAGAUCGUAGAGGGACAAGAUAGACCACUCCUCGAAAAACGCGUAGUAUGACGUGUGUGACCGUCGACGCCAUAUUGUUAAGCAUUUAUUGGGCUGUAAUGGCGUCCUCAGCUAAAUCUACAUCUCACUGCUCCGCUAUCAACUGUUCUAAUCGUAAAUCUAAACGACCAGUGCUGUCAUUCUUUAGGUUCCCCAAUAAAAAAGAAAGAUGUCAACAGUGGGUCCAGAAUACUCAUCGACAAGAUCUCCUGCACCGAACUGCAGAGUAUUUGUCAAAUAACUGCCGUCUUAUGUACAUUGUGUGAAAUUGUGAUUUGUUAACUGCACAAAACUAAUGCAAAUGGCGAUACAUGCCUGCAUUUGGCCCAUACCCCUCUAAACCUGUCCUAACCAUCAAAUAACCUAACAGAACUGUCAUGAGGAAAGAUUUAAAAGACUAGGCUUGUAUUCACUGGAGUUUAGAAGGAUGAGGGGGGAUCUUAUCAUAUUGUUUACAGUGUACUAUGUUUACAGAUUCUGUUGUGCUGCUGAAAGUAAGAAUUUAAUUGUUCUAUCUGGGACAAGCUAGAUGCAGGAAAAUUGUUCUACAUGACAAUAAAACCCUCUUGUUAGAUGCAAGGGGAUCUUAUAGAAACAUCUAAAUGAAUAAAAGGACUGAACAAGCUAGAUACAGGAAAAAUGUUCCCAAUGUUGGGCGAGUCCAGAACCAGGGGCCACAGUCUUAGAACAAAGGGGAGGCCAUUUAA